UACGUAGGGCGCAAGCGUUGUCCGGAAUCAUUGGGCGUAAAGAGCUCGUAGGCGGCCUGUUGCGUCCGCUGUGAAAUCCCGGGGCUUAACCCCGGGCGUGCAGUGGAUACGGGCUGGCUGGAGGCAGGCAGGGGAGAACGGAAUUCCCGGUCGUAGCGGUGAAAUGCGCAGAUAUCGGGAGGAACACCGGUGGCGAAGGCGGUUCUCUGGGCCUGUACUGACGCUGAGGAGCGAAAGCGUGGGGAGCGAACAGG
rnacentral:rRNA from 1 species